GACGAACGCUGGCGGCGUGCUUAACACAUGCAAGUCGAACGGAAAGGCCCUGCUUUUGUGGGGUGCUCGAGUGGCGAACGGGUGAGUAACACGUGAGUAACCUGCCCUUGACUUUGGGAUAACUUCAGGAAACUGGGGCUAAUACCGGAUAGGAGCUCCUGCUGCAUGGUGGGGGUUGGAAAGUUUCGGCGGUUGGGGAUGGACUCGCGGCUUAUCAGCUUGUUGGUGGGGUGGUGGCUUACCAAGGCUUUGGCGGGUAGCCGGCCUGAGAGGGUGACCGGCCACAUUGGGACUGAGGUACGGCCCAGACUCCUACGGGAGGCAGCAGUGGGGAAUAUUGCACAAUGGGCGGAAGCCUGAUGCAGCAACGCCGCGUGCGGGAUGACGGCCUUCGGGUUGUAAACCGCUUUCGCCUGUGACGAAGCGUGAGUGACGGUAAUGGGUAAAGAAGCACCGGCUAACUACGUG
rnacentral:rRNA from 1 species